CAAAACUUAAAUGAGCGCAGUUAAGGAAUUAAAUUUACCAAUAAUUAAUGUGGACAACUUCACCCGGUAAUGAGCAUCCAACUUGCCCGUAUGAUUCCAUUAUAUGACGCAGAGAGAGAGCCCACCCUAUUAAUUAAUGAUAGCUCUACCAUACCAACACCCAUCCGGAUCCCUCAAUUAGAUCCUUUGUUUUGCCUUAAGCAGGCACGUUCCCCUUUCCCCCAAACAAAAACGUGAAGACAACGAAGAGCGAAAACCACACAAACCAUGAACUAGAAUUAAUGAAAGCUAUAUACACAUCAAAAACUACAUUACCACACGAUCUCAUUACAACCCAUCCCACGCACCAUCACUAAAGGCUAAAGAUCCGAAACACCGCUACAACACAAUAACAAUAACACUUGUGCAUACCAUACAAGCUUCGGUACCAUAUAUCCAAAUGUCUUGGCCUUUGCUACCCAUAAAACAUUACAUCAGCCGGAUAACGGUCUACGAGUCGUCGUCUCAUAUUUCACACGUCGUAAGGACGAGGAGGACUCCUGGGUCCAACCUCGCUUGCCUUCUCGUAUGCAUCCGAUAUUGAUCUUCUUCGAAACCGAAAGGACUCUUUGCCUCCAGAAAAGGGGGAUACCGGAGGAGUAGAGCCGGCGGGUGAAACCGGUGGAGAACCGUUCUGGUACCCAGGCGGUUUUACUAUCAUGAUACUGCGCGUAACUCUCGUCACCUCCUCUGAUGCAUCCUCACCGUACGAUCUCGCGUUUCGACCAUCGGAUUCUGAUCCACAACGAAAGAAGAAGUUAGAAUCUAGACCCACGAACGACACAGAAAUAUAUUAUCGCCGUUUAGCCAAAACGAUCUUUUUUUUUUUUGGGUUUUUGGAUAGUAACCAAAACGAUCCAUUUGAUGAUGGUCUUCAAAAACUUUAUACUGCAUGUACUCUUGGCUAAAAUAAUCAUCCCUACGAUAUAAUAUUGUAGCAUUAAGAAUUAAUAGCUUAUCGGCGAAAAAAAAAGUUAACAAUCACUGGAUAAUUGCAAUAACUGUUACGAGAAGUGAAUCAGCAAUCCAAAAACUCCUCUAAACGAGAAUUUUGAAGCUCGAUCAAGCUGAGCUCUCGAUUGAAGUGAAUUCAAGUUAUGCGAUUUUGAUAGAUAGUUCUAUAAACUUUCCGUUUUGCAAAUUUAACGUCCUAUAUAUCAUCCGCCGCCGUGGGCCUAAGUUAGCAAAAACGCUUGCAUACCCUUGCCGGAGGAUGACCGAAAGUUGAAGGUGGAAUGCUUCCGCAGCUUGCCGAGGCCGUUAUCCGGUCGAGGCCCCGCAACGGUUUCGUCCCACAGCUGGUCAAGAAGACCCAUGGCGCAAAUUAACGGGAAUCUGCAACGAUCUAAGCAGAAAAAGCAGUGCACGUUAAGACCUCACUACCCAGCAUAGAAUCGAUGAGCCCGCCAC
rnacentral:misc_RNA from 1 species